UACGUAGGGUGCGAGCGUGUCCGGAAUUAUUGGGCGUAAAGGGCUCGUAGGCGGUUUGUCGCGUCUGCCGUGAAAGUCCGGGGCUCAACUCCGGAUCUGCGGUGGGUACGGGCAGACUAGAGUGAUGUAGGGGAGACUGGAAUUCCUGGUGUAGCGGUGAAAUGCGCAGAUAUCAGGAGGAACACCGGUGGCGAAGGCGGAUCUCUGGGCCGUAACUGACGCUGAGGAGCGAAAGCAUGGGGAGCGAACAGG
rnacentral:rRNA from 1 species